GUGCUCACUUUGGCAGCACAUAUACUAACAUUGGACCAUUACAGAGAAGAUUAACAUGGCUCCUAAGCAAGGAUGACAUGCAAAUUUGUGAAAUCUUCCAUAUUUUU